UACGGGUAGCUUUGAAGAUUCCUUUGGAGUUCAGUUUUAAAAAAAAAUCACAAGGCUUUAUUUCCUGCUAACAUGCCAUUGGAAAACAGCGCCCCCCGCUCAACAGUGACGUAUGACACCUCCAGAACGACUACUGCUUCGUAACACGUCAGGCUGGAAUCUGUGAAUGUUAGUACAAAACUGUAAGCAGGGUUAAACUUCCAUCAAUACAAAAAUAGAUUUUACUUCGCUGAUACAAUAGAAUUUUUCAACCCUUUCUAUAAUUUGUUUUUCUAAACUUUUUUUAUUAUUUUGCAAUACACAAACAUUUUUUUAUUUUUUUUUAGUUUUUUUCAUUUUUGUACAUAAUGUCACAAGAACGACACAAGGAUACCUCUUGGUGCUGGUGAGUUUCACCUAUCCCCCCUCACGCUGAAAAUAUUCUGCGGCACCUCAAAACAGGUGCGCAAACUAAGAGACCGGGCGUUCCUUCCCUGUGCACAGAUCUUUCUGACCUUCAGUCUU